rnacentral:rRNA from 1 species
CCGGCGACCGGCGCACGGGUGAGUAACACGUAUGCAACCUGGCCGUCACAGGGGGAUAACCGGAAGAAAUUCCGACUAAUACAGCAUAACACUCCUGAGGGACAUCCUUCGGGAGUCAAAGGAGGCAACUCCGGUGACGGAUGGGCAUGCGGCGCAUUAGGUAGUUGGUAGGGUAACGGCCUACCAAGUCGACGAUGCGUAGGGGUUCUGAGAGGAAGGUCCCCCACAUUGGAACUGAGACACGGUCCAAACUCCUACGGAAGGCAGCAG